rnacentral:rRNA from 1 species
GUACGGGGGGGGGCAAGCGUUGUUCGGAAUUACUGGGCGUAAAGGGCUCGUAGGCGGCCAACUAAGUCAGACGUGAAAUCCCUCGGCUUAACCGGGGAACUGCGUCUGAUACUGGAUGGCUUGAGAUUGGGAGAGGGAUGCGGAAUUCCAGGUGUAGCGGUGAAAUGCGUAGAUAUCUGGAGGAACACCGGUGGCGAAGGCGGCAUCCUGGACCAACACUGACGCUGAGGAGCGAAAGCCAGGGGAGCAAACGGG